rnacentral:lncRNA from 1 species
GAUUGAUAAGUUCAUUUUGAAAAUACAUUUUUCACUAUAUUAUUUGGGAUGAAUCGUCAUGUUUUCAAAGAAUUAAUCACUAGCUAGAUUGAACUUAAGCCAGAAAUCGCCUUUCAUAAAAUCUUGUAAUGGAUAAAGUGCUAAAAUCAGUUCCUGCCUUCGGGGAAUUCUCCUUUUGAAAUGCUUAAAUCUAAGAAUCAAAUAUAUGCAUAGGCUGACUUCGUAGUGAAAUGGAAGGUAUUUUCAUUUUUUGCACUCUUAUGCAGCAUAUUUGACAUUGACUUUAGUUUUUGCACUCUUCGUGCUAACUUUGUAACCGGAUUAUAACAUGAUGAAAAGUUUUAUGCUUGUUACUAAGUUAUCUUACUAAUAAAUUAUUUGUAGAAAAUAUAAUUAGGGUAAAUGGCAAUCUAAUUAUCUGAUUUAAUUAGGUCCUUAACAUAUACUUUCCUUCCUCCAGUAAAUAUAUAUUGAGUAUAUAUUUGUUUGGCAGCAUGAUUCUGAACUCUGUAUUUCCACAAAAAAUUCAGGAUUGCUGCAUGAUAGGGAAUGGCUUCUCAAGAGCUUCAACGGAGAAAUUUUGACCUAGAAGAAGGCGAGUCUUGAUCUUGCAUUUAAAGGUGCACUUUUCAAUCACAUCUUUCUCAAUUUUAGCUUCUUAGUAACAUUUGACUUAAGGGAACUACAAGACCAAUUAGCAUGGACCAUGCAUGAAGUGAUGAAAAGAUUUCCUAACUUUGUUUUAUACUAGACAAAUGAUGGUGUGUAUGUCAUGUUGCGUAAGAUCUAUGCUUAAUUAGUUUUACGUAUUCUUUUAUUACUCUCUUAGUCAUUUACUUACAACUUGAGUGCUUACAAUUAUUUUUAAUAAGUUGUGCUCUUAUUUUUUGAAUGAUUACAAGCAUAGACGAGUACUUGUUUGCUUAUUUAACAUUACCACUCUUCUUCUGUAGCUACAUGGCUUAUUCUACUCCCCCUCUUUUUUUGGUAAAUGGGAGCGUUGAGAUUGAAGAAUUGAGAAGGUCGUUGAAAAUAUUGUAUGAUAUUAUUUAAUCUAGUUUUUAAUCAGUUACUAGAUUUUUCUUAUAUAACUUUGAGCUUUCAAUAUGACAGGAUGAAGGCCUACAUGACAAGGAGCAAGGAACUCUGAUGAAGGUAUGCAAUAUGACAGGAUNN